rnacentral:tRNA from 1 species
GUUCUUGUAGUUGAACUACAACGAUGGCUUUUCGGGCUGUUAGUUUCGGUGUAAAUCCGAAUUAGAAUA